rnacentral:tRNA from 1 species
AGAAACUUAGGAUAUGUAUUAAACCCGAGGCCUUCAAAGCCCCAAAAAAGAGAUCAACCUCUUAGUUUCUG